rnacentral:lncRNA from 1 species
AAUUAAGAACCACAAUUUACAAACCAUCUGGAACUCAAGCUUCCUCUGCUAUGUUUUCUAAUUUCCAUGCAAGAAUAUACCAAAAUUUGUGUAUCUACUUUCCUGCUGAUGGACUUUCCCCCCAACCCACCCCAGUUUGGAGCUAUGUAGUGAGUUGAAUUGAACAGAGACCCACAAAAGGCAACUCCUCUGCCCUUCAGUAAUAAAGUAUACCCGUUGCUAUUGUCUGAGGAUAUCAGAAGGGCCAGGUCUGUGAUCUGCAAUUUAAGCAGAAUGGGAGAUACUAAAAUGUGGGAAGACAAAGGAAAACCUACUGAAGAUGGGACAUCAGGUGGCAUUCAGGUAACGGACAUAAUAAAGGAUGAGGCUAUAAUUAAGGCUCGUGGGCAUAAAAAAAAUAGGCAGAAACCUGCGUUUUAGGAAGUACAGGUUGAGGAAACAGUGGUCUCUAACUGCUAAGAGAGAUCAUUAAUGAGGCCAGCAGUCAAAAUCAUGGAUAAUUCCAAAGGAAGUGGUAAUAAGAAUUCAGUAAGAAGUAGCUAAGACCACAGCAGACAUAGUCCUUCCCAGGAGAAAAAAAAAAGAAAGAGAGAAGAA